UACAGAGGUCUCAAGCGUUGUUCGGAUUCAUUGGGCGUAAAGGGUGCGUAGGUGGCGCUGUAAGUCGGGUGUGAAAUUUCGGAGCUUAACUCCGAAACUGCAUUCGAUACUGCGGUGCUUGAGGACUGGAGAGGAGACUGGAAUUCAUGGUGUAGCAGUGAAAUGCGUAUAUAUCAGGAGGAACACCAGCGGUGUAGACGGCUUUCUGGACCAUUGCUGACGCUGAGACACGAAAGCGUGGGUAGCAAACAGG
rnacentral:rRNA from 1 species